rnacentral:lncRNA from 1 species
CGUGAACAAAGUCAAUAAUUGCAUCACAGAAUUCCUGUUAUUUUUCUUUGCAAAAAAAAAAGAGCUGAUGUUUUCUUAAAUACGGAAUUGAUGUUAUUUUGCUUGGAGAAAUGUUUUUUUUUGCAAAAAUGUAAGAUAAGACAGAUCCGUGUAUGUGGAUGACCGAUGAAGUGAUGGAACAGCAAGAAAGAGGACUCUGCUUUAAUAUUGGCUCUGCUCUUCCCAAUCCCCCCUAACAAUUUUACGAGUUACUAAGUUACUAGCCAAUUAAUUGUCAUAAAAAAAAGAACCAAUUGAUUUGCCGUGCAAUUGAAUACGCAAACAGUACUUCCACAUAUUCAAAAAAACAUUUCUGCUACCAACACCCAUCAGACCUUUUACUUGAACAGGAC